GGAAGGUCUACAAGGCAAACAAAAGCAGACAAUGCAGACACCCGGUAGUGGUUAACAGCACUGGAGCCAGACGGGACAAGAUGGUGAGUACUAGAUACCAAGACAAGAAGAUGGCUGGGGUUACAAGACAAAAUAGCUAGAUAACCAGACUAGGCAGAAACUAGAUUUCCAGACAAGAUAGCGCUAGGUACUAGAAGGGGUCUAAGACCGAUAAGCUACGAGGCUAACAUUAACGAUCCGACACAAGACAAGAGAAACACAAGGAAUAAGAAGGGAAGGUAAUCAGAGUAGGGAUGAGGAGCAGCUGGGGAGAGAAAAGAACCCAGGUGACGUGAGGAAGUCGAAAGUGAUAAUAAAUUAGAUGACAAGAGGGGCGGGGUCAAGCACAUGGACUUCUGAGCACAUGGUGAGCUGUCAAACAAUACCUCGUGCUCAACACAACAAUGACAGAGGACAAAACACAAAACAGGAGUGCUAGACCCGAGACCUGACACGUAUUUAUACCGAUUUCAUCAGACUACGAAAAUUCUUCAAAAAGAACACAAAGAAUGGCCUUCUCAGCUGCCAUAGCUCAACUCUCGCGUCAUCACAACAGGGUGUUCAACCGCACCACCGUUUCCAUUUAAAAAAAACGUUUUGCAACUUUUUGUGGGGGCUGAACGCAGCCCAGGCUUGCUCGAUUUCAUAAAGCACUGCGAAUACCGGAUCAUUGAUUAAAAAGCAGGCGAAACAGUCGGUUCUCAAUGCUCAAACUAUACCAUUCAGUCACAAAAAACACCCAUACAAAUAAUAUAAAAAAAUAAUCUACAAUCUUUUAUAAUGAUAUAAAUUUGUAUAUAAUAUAAUAUCAUAUAAAUAUUUGCCUUCCUCAUUUGAUAUACAUUGCUUUGUGUGUCUGCUAAGGGUUUUCGUGAUAGUAAUAAUAGUAUCAUAUUGUAAGAUAUUAUUAUUGGCAGUUUUUGUUGCUUUUAACUUUGUGGCUAACCAAAACUGACCCAAAUCUUAACCGAACUACGUUCUUUUUAUGGCAAGCCUAACUCAAGGGUGUACAGUUAGAUGCUGCAAAUGUACAGAAAGGGAUUAAUCCAGUGCUCGAAUUGAGGGGGGGCUGGGGGGAUCCGGGAUCCCCAUAAGAAAUAAAAAAAAGAUGUCGGGGAUCCCUCAGAUAUUUUUAUUUGAGUAAAAAUUAUAAUGACAAAUGUGAUUAAAUUCAUGAAAUGGAUAUGGUAAAUUUCGUUAAUUAAUUAUUUACAAUAAUUUAUAUUAAGUUUGUUUAUGGGCUAGUUGUCAUGUCUCUUUAAAUUUGAAACGCCCCGCCCCACGUCUAAAGACCGCUAAAUGCAGGACAUCGUUGACAUGACUGGCAUCGCUCCGGUGAAGCUACUUCAGCUAAAAAAUGGAGAAUAAAAAAACCCCACUCGUAGUCGGGAAGAGGAAGCUUCUACUUUUUUGAGGGGUAAUUUUCUCUCUAUAUAUAUACAGUAUUCCCACUACAUUUAUCAACUCCAUGUCGGGGCUUUUGUAUUCCUUGCGUAAACUAUUAUUAGGCCUGGUUUUGGGGUGCUAGAGAUCUCGAUGAAGAUGAGUGACAGCUUUUUAGUAAUUAUAAAGGGAGUGCUUGUUGUGCGGUUUCUGUGCUAUAUAUAAUCCAUUCAGAAUUGUAUAAAACUUGCUUUUCAUGCUGCUAAGACCAACGGCCACAUACACGCUGCAAAGGAAUUACAUCGACAUAUUAAUGCGGGAUUCACUCUUGAAAUAGCCAUGAUUGACAUAUUGAUAGUCAUACUGUAGUUAGUUCCUGAAUAAAGCAGACUUUUGGACUGAAAUGGUUGAAUAGUCUGCUGACUGAUAGACUCACUCAUAACAGUCCGUUGCCGCCACCUACUGGACGUAACUAUGUAAACUGCACUGAAAUCGUUGAAAAAUACCCACAACACUAACACACUUACUGACAGCCGGUCUUGUCACAGUUUAUAUUUUUAAUAUCUAAUAAACUAGUGAAAGUGAAAAGUUUCUUGCAUUUAAACAAGUCUUUUGGAACAAACAUUAUUAUCACAAUGUGUCAAUCAUCCAGUUGUUUUUAGGGAAAAUAGUAAAUACUACAUUGGUUAAUAAUGCUAGAAUUAUUCUGUUGGACGUACUCUACUGUUCAAAAGUAAUUUCUGUUCACCAAGCCUGCAUUGAUUUGAUCCAAAAUACAGUAAAAGAAGCCUGUUCUUUUAUUUAAGCCUGUUUUUAAUGAAUAGUAUAUAAUUAUGCAUAUUAUGAUCAAAUAUAUUGUGUAUUUUGUAUAAAUUGUAUAUUGCGAGACUAACCCCCACCAAAAAAAAAAUCUUAUGGUGUGGACCCCCCAUAAAAUUUGACUCAAAUCAAGCACUGGAUUAAUCUAUGGGCCUUGGUCUGUUAAUCUACAGGAUUAAACUGUAUAUUGAAAUAACAGUAUUCUUAACAGCAAUUUGUUACAAUGCAGGGAGCUAUUGGGAGAGGACGCAGCACAAAAGGUAGAUUAUGUGGCUUUGUCGGACAAUACAGGGAGCACGCAUAGGUGACAUGGCCAGUGAUAUUGCUUCGCAAAUUUUAGAGCAACUGCGAGACAGUGAAUAUUUUGUGCUGCAGCUGGAUGAAAGUACCGAUGUAGCAAAUCAAGCACAAUUUAUGCUUAUGCUACAUUCGUUUCCUCAGACGGGACAGAUUUAUCGAGUAAUUUGAACUCAUGAAUUGCGUAUAAAUAACACGCGUGUUGCAUGAUCGUGAAAUACGUACGCCAAAGUUUGAUUUUGCGUGCAUAAAUACGCCUAUUUUUGCGUGCAUAUGAUACGCCAAUUUAGCGCGCAUGCAUAUUAACCGGCAAUUUGUCUUAUUAACCUGUCCCCAAACCCUAAACCUAAUGUUAGCGUGCGUGCAUAUUAUAACCUCUACCCUAACCCAAACCCUAAACCUAACAGUAUUAUUUUAAUUAUUUCAGUGUUUCCUCUUCGUGUACGUUUUAAAAAUGGCUGCUGUUCAGCGAGGUGCACGCAAACAUUGGCGUAUCAUAUGCACGUAAAAUCGAACUUUGGCGUACGUAUUUCACGAUAAUGCAACAGCGUGUUAUUUAUACGCAAUUCAUGAGACCGGGUUGGGAGAGCCACAGAACAGGAUAUAUUUUAUAUGAUCGAUCAAUUUAUGAAGGACAAUUCAGUAGACUGGUCUCGGUGUGAUGGAGUGUGCACUGACGCUAUGACCGGUAAACACAGCAGAUUUGUAACGAUGAUAAAAGAGGAAGCCCCUAACGCUGUUGCGACACACACUGCAUGCUUCAUCGUGAGGCUCUUGUGGCCAAACGAAUGGAUGAUGAAUUGCAAUGCAUCAAGUGCUGAGAGAUGUAGUUAAAACUGUGAACUAUGUCAAAUCACACCCAUUGAAAUGCAGACUUUUAGGUUUACUCUACAAGAAAUGGGUGCAGAUUACGAGUGUUUGCUGCUCCACUCAGAAGUACACUGGCUUUCGCGCGGGGCUGUGUUAAGUCGGGUGUAUGGGCUGCGCAAAGAGCUGAGAGAGUUUCUCUCUGGUGAAAAGACAGAACUUGCCAAAUGUUUUGAAGAUGACUCGUGGAUACUAAAGUUGUCAUACAUGUCCUCAAUCAGAGCAUGCAAGGGCACAAUGUGUACAUACUGAAUGCACAAGAUAAGGUACGUGCAUUCACACAGAAAAUAUCUCUGUGGGAAACCAAACUGCAGGAGGGAGUUACAGAAAUGUUUCCUCUCUUUACCUAAAAGUGCAUCUCCUCCACUGCUGACAACAUCAUGCGCAUAAUCCAGUCUCACCUGUCACAUCUCAAGGGCUAUUUUAAACAAUAUUUCCCUGAUUUGAACAACACCCACCUGGAGUUUGUUAGAAACCCAUUUGCACCAGGGGUUGGCACUCAUCUGGAUCUAGCAGAACAAGAGCAACUGAUUGACUUGACAAAUGAAGGAGAGAUGGAAACAAAGUUCCAAAGCCUUUCUAUGUCAAAGUUUUGGAUGUCUGCUAGAAAGGACUACCCUGCUUUGUCUGAAAAGGCAAUAAAAAGUGUAUUUUACCUUUCGAUACAACCUACUUGUGUGAAGCUGGAUUUUCAGCACUGAAAAAAGUACUUCAGUCCAAGCAUAGAGCCCGUCUGGAUGUUGAAAAUGACAUGCGCCUAGCUCUCACUAAAAUAAAGCCACGCUUUGACAAACUGUGUAGGAGCCACCAGGCUCAUCCAUCCCAUUUGGAGUUUUUGUAUCAGUGAAUGUUUGUUCGAUUUGAUUCACAUGUUUUAAUUCAAAUGACCUUCAGGUUCAGCUUGUCAUAUACUACUACCUUAUAAAAAGUUACCCUGUUCAGUUAAAGGGGUCAUAUGGUGCGAAUACAUGUUUUUCUGUGUCUGGUGUGUUAUAAGUUGCCCAUGAAUGUAUUAGACACGUAAAAUUGCAAAAAUUAAAGUGUUGGAACAAAAGAUGCAUUCUAUCUAAAAGCGAAUGCUCACCCAGACCUGCCUGAAACACCUCAUGUAACCACACCCCCACAAAUCUACAUCAGUUCGUGGUAUGAUUUGACUAAGACCACCCAAAAGUAUACGUAAGUAAAGUGGGCGUAAAGUUUCAGCACAAUAGAAGAGGAACCUGAGGUUCCAAAAUGGUAAGAGGGGUUACAUUUCCGUCACACACUUGCAGUAUUCGACCAAUCACUACGCACUGGUUAACUAGCCAAUCAUAGCACACCUCGCUUUUCGGAGCGAUGAGCUUUGUAAAAAAUCUGCGUGUUUCAGAGAGGCAGGGCAAAGAGGAGAUACAAACAUGCACGGUAUGUGUAAAAUACAACAUUUUUAAACCUUAAAUCGUGUACACACAUUGCAUUACAUCUAAAACAAACUAUAAUAUUCGUUUCAGCCGUGUCAUGUCACUUCUUUAAUGUAAAUAUUUUGCAAUUUCAGGAAUGAAAAAAGCUACAGAAGUUGUAAUUUGAAAUGCUAAAUUGUUAAUUCUUAUAAGAAUCAUUUUUGGCUAUAAUGAAUUUAGUUGUCAAAUAAUACAAGAACUAGAAAACUAGAACAAGAACUAGAAAUUUUAAAUGAUGAUUUGUUGUAAUAUGAAUUGUAUCGUGUAUUUACAGUAUGUAAAUGUCUUCGUAAAUAAAAUAGGGCUGAAACGAUUCCUCGAGUUAUUCGAAUACAAAAAAUCAUCGAGGCAAUUUUUGUUGCCUCAAAACCUCAUUUAAUCCAUUUAACUACAGUACACACGGAACGCUGCAUUUCCCCACGGACCGUUAUUACUGACGCACAGCCCGCUAAACUCUAUUCAUGUUACAGGGCUCUCAAGUGUCUUGAUUCUGCCUCAUCUUGUCAUGUCUUUAUUGAUCUCGUGGCAGAAUCACGGCAGGAUACCCUGUUUUAUGUGGAGAGAAGUAGUUUUGGCCUUCCAUAUUCUCCCUCUCUCCAGUGUCGCGUCUUUAGCCCCGCCCUCUCGUUCCCUCGUUAACUUCUCCUUAGUGUUUGAUCCUUAAGUUGUCACCUGCCCGUCACCCUCCCUGUAUUAUUAUUCCUUGUUUGUAUUCCCCAAUAUAAAGCCUCUGUUUUUCCUGUCCUGUGUCGGUUCAUUGUUGAAGUGCUCGUGUUCAUGCAUUGUCUUGCCCGUGUAGUAAGUUUGAGUUUUUGAUUAUUUUUAGUUCUCAUUUUGCCCCAUUGUGGGAAGUUUUUGUUUGUCUUUUGAAAGGUCUUUGGUUUAUAGUGUUUUUUUGUUACCCCACUGUGGGUUAUUGUUUUGUAUUUAUAAUUAAAGUUCUGUGUUUACCCUUUACUGUUGCCUGCAUCUGGGUUCUUCCUCCCUUGAUCACGACAAAUAUAUUUUAUUGAGACAGGCUUGUGGCCUGAAGGAGUACUGCAGAGGACACAACAUAACACAAAUGAGUUUCACAAAUCUGUGGUGUUCUGUUUCCAGUGCUGUGUCCACCCAUGUUAUGCAUUUGUGCCUUCUCCUGCUCUGCACUUUUAAAGCCCACUGUACGGUAUGCAAACGUCAUGUUUACGAUGGUGAACUUACUGUAUGUAGAGAUCUGAGUAAAGUGGUUUGCUAUUCUGUAUUAGUAUAAAGGUAUAUUUAAAUGAAUUUUUUUUAUUUAGUAGGCCAUCAUACACUAUGGUUUGGCUGUGCUGCAGAAUUUGUCCGUGCAAGAUGCUGAGCAAGUUUUCCUCAAUGAUCUGGAUUACCAUCGCAGGCUGUGGCAUCUGGAUGUUUACUGAUGAUACAUAUCCCUCUACUGUGAUCUACUGUGUGUCAGUGAAGCCUACAUGCAAUGUGUGAGCUGAUGGGCAAAAGGUCAUUGUAAAUAUUUUUUAAAUUGUUUUUUUUUAUUGCACUUUUUUCCAAAAAAAACAGACCUGGCACCCUGCAGUACUGAAGGAUACAACUGGGAUAUACACAGCUCUUCAUUGCAUACAUUACUUUAUGGACUUUCUCUCUGUUUAUGGCUGAUGUUAGGAAAAAUGUUACUGAGUCACCAUUCACUUAUACAAAAACGCUAGUCAAAAAGCAAACAUUUUUCUCUUGUGCUCUGUUUGUGCUCUGCUAAGGAAAGAGAGUCAGGAGUGUUUGGAAUAUGAUGGUGACAUCAUCUCCAGCUCCAUUUUAAAACAAAGGUCGUUUUACAGCAAUUCAUCUUAUGGGUUCUUAACACAGAUAACUGUUUCAGUGUUAAAUAAUCAUCACGAGAGGAAAGAUAGAUCUGAUUUAAAAUAAAAAAUCAUAUCUGACUAUUAAUCAGAACUCAUAAUGAAUUCUUUAAAGGCAGAAUAUGAUGAGACAUUUACACAAAUCCACAGCCAUGGAGAGUUAACAGAGAGAUGAUUCUCUGGACGUUCCCAUAGGUUUCUCACCAAUUUAAACAUUUAUUCAGAGUGAGGGCAGAGGGUCAGCGAGUCAGACACCAUCCGGCUGCGGGACAAUGCUCAGGGAAGUUGUGUGAACAUGCCAAUUACAGCCUGGGGAGACGAUCCCGAGCACUCCACGUGACCCACGUUCCCAUGAUCACCACUCACACAUUACAGCAGAUGAAAUAUACAGAAGAGAACCUGCCUGAGCAGACUCACAGACCCCCAAUCAGACUCAGAGGUGGACAGUAACGAAGUAAAUUUACCUGAGUACUGUACUUAAGUACACUUUCUGAGUAUCUGUACUGUACUUGAGUAUUAUUUUUUCGGAGUACUUGUACUUUAACUUCACUACAUUUGAAAGACAAAUAUCAUACUUUUUACUCCACUACAUUUAUAAAAAGGUCCAAAAGUAGAAAAUGGUUUCUAUGCAGCGGGGUUUCCCGUGUGCGCAAUUUAUCUGGCUUGCGAUCUGCCAGGACCUUUUACUGUUGCCAAGUAUUUCAGUUUUUCUAAACUCGCGGUUUUCCGGCAAGCUUUGAGUGGCCAUUUGGCGGAUUUUUUUACGCAAAUCGGGCAACUCUGGGAUCUUCCCCGCUAAACUAAUGUAAACGUAGGCGCUGCUACACCGUUGAUAGCGCUCUAAAAAGGCAAAUAGAACAAUAAAAGAUGAAAAAGGCAGAUGUUAAAGUGUGGUGUAAUCAUCUGUGGGUUACGAUCAGUCAAAGAACAUAGAAACAUCGUCAUGAAAAUGAUCGGCAUAACGGCUAAACGGUAAAUAAGCAUCACAUACACCUUGAGCUACGCGUGCGUGUUAACUUCUGAUCUGCUGCUAUAUCAUUUAAAGCGAUUUGGAAAAUGAAUGAUGUUUUUACUGAAGUAACUAUAGUUGAAGUAUUCCUGUUGAAAUAAAAACAAUAGAACCCUGCGCAAAAUACAACAGAAAAUGUAAUGGAUUUAAUGGUUAUAUUGGGAAUUGUACUAUGGAUACUUGUUGUCUACUUGUAUGUGAUGGAUUCUAUUGAUGGGAUGGUAAAUCCUAUUGAAAUAAAACCCAAAACACACUACAAAGAGGAAUUUAAUUUAAAAAUCUCAUUCUAGUUAAAAAAUUCAUUGUUUUUUUCAGCAGGGGUGGUUUUGCAGUAAAACCACAGUAUCCACAAAUUUACCAUUUUCUAUAUAUAGGAACCAUACUCCAAUUAAUAAUCUUUAGUAAAACCACAGCAACUAAAAAUACCAUAGUUUCAUUAUACUAGCUAUAUGUUUGUAGUUAAAUUAUGGUAAUACAAAUGGUAAUAAAUCCAACAAACACAUGGCUUCUACACUAGUAGUAUAUAUCAUAGUGUCAAAAUGAUUG